rnacentral:rRNA from 1 species
GAGUUUGAUCCUGGCUCAGGACGAACGCUGGCGGCGUGCCUAAUACAUGCAAGUAGAACGCUGAAGGAGGAGCUUGCUCUUCUGGAUGAGUUGCGAACGGGUGAGUAACGCGUAGGUAACCUGCCUGGUAGCGGGGGAUAACUAUUGGAAACGAUAGCUAAUACCGCAUAACAGUAGAUGUUGCAUGACAUUUGCUUAAAAGGUGCAAUUGCAUCACUACCAGAUGGACCUGCGUUGUAUUAGCUAGUUGGUGGGGUAACGGCUCACCAAGGCGACGAUACAUAGCCGACCUGAGAGGGUGAUCGGCCACACUGGGACUGAGACACGGCCCAGACUCCUACGGGAGGCAGCAGUAGGGAAUCUUCGGYAAUGGACGGAAGUCUGACCGASCWACGCCGCGUGAGUGAAGAAGGUUUUCGGAUCGUAAAGCUCUGUUGUAARAGAAGAACGAGUGUGAGAGUGGAAAGUUCACACWGUGACGGUAUCUUACCWKAAAG